rnacentral:rRNA from 1 species
CGUAGGUGCGAGCGUUGUCCGGAUUUAUUGGGCGUAAAGAGCUUGUAGGCGGUUGAUUGCGUCGAAAGUGCAAACUCAGGGCUUAACUCUGAGCCUGCUUUCGAUACGGGUCGACUUGAGGAAUGUAGGGGAGAAUGGAAUUCCCGGUGGAGCGGUGGAAUGCGCAGAUAUCGGGAGGACACCAGUGGCGAAGGCGGUUCUCUGGACAUUUUCCUGACGCUGAGAAGCGAAAAGCGUGGGGGAGCAAACAGGCUU